rnacentral:rRNA from 1 species
AUGCGCCUGUCAACGGUGAUUAACAGAAUCAUCUCGCCGGCACAAUCUGCCUUCCAAAAAAAGAAGUGCAUCCACGACAGCUACCUCUUCGUGCAAAACAGAGUCAGAGCCCUGCACCGUAGCAAAACCCCAGCCAUCCUGCUGAAACUCGACAUUGCUAGAGCUUUUGACAGUGUUUCCUGGGAAUACGUUCUCGAACUGAUGAGUAAAAUGGGCUUCCCUCCACGCUGGCGCGACUGGACUGCACCGCUGUUGUCCUCCUCGACAUCGACUUGCCUGUUAAACAGCGUCCUUGGGUACUACAUCGACCAC